AUUGAACGCUGGCGGCAGGCCUAACACAUGCAAGUCGAGCGGCAGCGGGAAAGUAGCUUGCUACUUUUGCCGGCGAGCGGCGGACGGGUGAGUAAUGCCUGGGGAUCUGCCCAGUCGAGGGGGAUAACUACUGGAAACGGUAGCUAACACCGCAUACGCCCUACGGGGGAAAGCAGGGGACCUUCGGGCCUUGCGCGAUUGGAUGAACCCAGGUGGGAUUAGCUAGUUGGUGAGGUAAUGGCUCACCAAGGCGACGAUCCCUAGCUGGUCUGGGAGGAUGACCAGCCACACUGGAACUGAGACACGGUCCAGACACCUACGGGAGGCAGCAGUGGGGAAUAUUGCACAAUGGGGGAAACCCUGAUGCAGCCAUGCCGCGUGUGUGAAGAAGGCCUUCGGGUUGUAAAGCACUUUCAGCGAGGAGGAAAGGUUGGUAGCUAAUAACUGCCAGCUGUGACGUUACUCGCAGAAGAAGCACCGGCUAACUCCGUGCCAGCAGCCGCCGUAACAC
rnacentral:rRNA from 1 species